CCAGUCUAGUAGAGAAGAGGUCAGAGGACAGCUGCUCCCCCAGAACACACAAAGGAUUCUUCACUAUGUACUCUACAUACAGCUGGAACAGAGACAGAGGUUAUAAUACUACAUACAGCUGGAAUAGAGAGACAGACAGAGAUUAUAAUACUACAUACAGCUGGAAUAGAGAGACAGACAGAGAUUAUAAUACUACAUACAGCUGGAAUAGAGACAGAGAUUAUAAUACUACAUACAGCUGGAAUAGAGAGACAGACAGAGGUUAUAAUACUACAUACAGCUGGAAUAGAGAGACAGAGAUUAUAAUACUACAUACAGCUGGAAUAGAGAGACAGACAGAGGUUAUAAUACUACAUACAGCUGGAAUAGAGAGACAGACAGAGGUUAUAAUACUACAUACAGCUGGAAUAGAGAGACAGACAGAGGUUAUAAUACUACAUACAGCUGGAAUAGAGAGACAGACAGAGGUUAUAAUACUACAUACAGCUGGAAUAGAGAGACAGACAGAGGUUAUAAUACUACAU